UUUCUGCUUUCUUUUCCUUGCUUUGCUAUCUCACCAGCUUUUGUGCAUUUUAUUACUUAUUUGUUUAUAACGUUGGUUUAGCUGAAAUCUCUAUCUUAUGCCUACUUNUCUACCUCAUCAUUUCCAUAUUUUAUGCACUUAAUUUUUGGUUCAACUUGCAGUACCAUAAAGCGUUUCUGGUCUUUUAGCCAGGUCUUAUAUUUAAUUCACACAUGCCACAAAUAUAACAAUCAACAAUACUAGCCAAGCCUUAUUCUCACCGAAUACUUUCAGCUAUAUGGAUUAUAAGGGUCUAAUUUCAAAAUUAUGGA
rnacentral:lncRNA from 1 species